rnacentral:rRNA from 1 species
UAAUAUUCCUGUACUGGGUGUUACUGCGAAGGGGGGACGGAGAAGGCUAUGUUAGCCGGGCGACGGUUGUCCCGGUUUAAGCAUGUAGGCGGAACGAUUAGGUAAAUCCGGUCGUUUGUUAACGCUGAGGUGUGAUGACGAGGCACUACGGUGCUGAAGUAACAAAUGCCCUGCUUCCAGGAAAAGCCUCUAAGCAUCAGGUAACAUCAAAUCGUACCCCAAACCGACACAGGUGGUCAGGUAGAGAAUACCAAGGCGCUUGAGAGAACUCGGGUGAAGGAACUAGGCAAAAUGGUGCCGUAACUUCGGGAGAAGGCACGCUGAUAUGUAGGUGAAGCCCCUGCGGGUGGAGCUGAAAUCAGUCGAAGAUACCAGCUGGCUGCAACUGUUUAUUAAAAACACAGCACUGUGCAAACACGAAAGUGGACGUAUACGGUGUGACGCCUGCCCGGUGCCGGAAGGUUAAUUGAUGGGGUUAGCGGCAACGCGAAGCUCUUGAUCGAAGCCCCGGUAAACGGCGGCCGUAACUAUAACGGUCCUAAGGUAGCGAAAUUCCUUGUCGGGUAAGUUCCGACCUGCACGAAUGGCGUAAUGAUGGCCAGGCUGUCUCCACCCGAGACUCAGUGAAAUUGAACUCGCUGUGAAGAUGCAGUGUACCCGCGGCAAGACGGAAAGACCCCGUGAACCUUUACUAUAGCUUGACACUGAACACUGGUCCUUGAUGUGUAGGAUAGGUGGGAGGCUUUGAAGCGUGGACGCCAGUCUGCGUGGAGCCGACCUUGAAAUACCACCCUUUAAUGGCUGGUGUUCUAACGUAGACCCGUAAUCCGGGUUGCGGACAGUGUCUGGUGGGUAGUUUGACUGGGGCGGUCUCCUCCCAAAGAGUAACGGAGGAGCACGAAGGUUAGCUAAUCCUGGUCGGACAUCAGGAGGUUAGUGCAAUGGCAUAAGCUAGCUUGACUGCGAGAGUGACGGCUCGAGCAGGUGCGAAAGCAGGUCAUAGUGAUCCGGUGGUUCUGAAUGGAAGGGCCAUCGCUCAACGGAUAAAAGGUACUCCGGGGAUAACAGGCUGAUACCGCCCAAGAGUUCAUAUCGACGGCGGUGUUUGGCACCUCGAUGUCGGCUCAUCACAUCCUGGGGCUGAAGUAGGUCCCAAGGGUAUGGCUGUUCGCCAUUUAAAGUGGUACGCGAGCUGGGUUUAGAACGUCGUGAGACAGUUCGGUCCCUAUCUGCCGUGGGCGCUGGAGAAUUGAGGGGGGCUGCUCCUAGUACGAGAGGACCGGAGUGGACGCAUCACUGGUGUUCGGGUUGUCAUGCCAAUGGCAUUGCCCGGUAGCUAAAUGCGGAAGAGAUAAGUGCUGAAAGCAUCUAAGCACGAAACUUGCCCCGAGAUGAGUUCUCCCUGACCCUUUAAGGGUCCUGAAGGAACGUUGAAGACUACGACGUUGAUAGGUCGGGUGUGUAAGCGCAGCGAUGCGUUGAGCUAACCGAUACUAAUGAACCGUGAGGCUUAACCUUACAACGCCGAAGCUGUU